rnacentral:misc_RNA from 1 species
CGACAAGAGAAUUGUUGACUGGCUCGCCGCAAAUUUCAAAAGGGAUGAAGGUAUUGAUUUGCUGAAAGACAAACAGGCUCUUCAGCGGCUAACUGAGACAGCUGAGAAAGCGAAAAUGGAGCUGUCAUCUUUGACCCAGGCCAACAUUAGUUUGCCUUUCAUCACUGCCACGGCAGAUGGCCCUAAGCACAUUGAGACCACACUUACCAGGGCCAAGUUUGAGGAAUUGUGCUCAGAUCUUCUUGAUAGGCUUAAGACUCCAG